rnacentral:tRNA from 1 species
GAGACAUUAGUAAAAUACGUAUAUUACAUCACCUUGUCGAGGUGAAAUUGCUGGUUAAACCCCAGCAUGUCUUA